ACACGCCCGGUGUGGACAUGUAAGGAGCGUGCAUUUAUCACGUCAAAACAGUAACCGACUCUCUGCACAGUCUGCAGGAUUUGGGGAGUUAAAAACUGAAGAAUCCGUAUGACAUGCCUGCGUCUCCCCCUUUACUCAACCUUACGUGUUGUAUACGGCAACACAGCCGUAGAAAAACUGUGCGUGAACAUUUUCUUACUCGUGUGGGUCACCAUUUUGUUUACCUGCAAACAUCCCAUAGUUCCCUGUAGGAGCAGUUGGGACUAAGGCUGUAACCCUGUGAUGCAUGGAACAGUCUAAGGACACGGUUCCUCAUAAAUGCAGAUCCUCCAACGGUGUUUUUGAGCUGAGCGACUCCACAGCUUUGUGCUUGAACAUCAGCAGAUCUAAACGUGGAUCGCUGGCGCUGCAGCGGAGACACCUUCAGUUCCACUCACGAAGAACCUCACUCGUGAGGCGUUUUACGCCGUCUUUUACCCUAAGCCUAACAUUUCCGUUUUCCAAAUUGCAGGAGUCCGGCUCAUCCGUCAUGUCGCCGACGGGGAUCAUGGGAGGACAGUUGAGGAAGCCGUGUGGGAGAAAACGUUCUGCAUCCCCACCACCGUGGACGCCUCGCUCCUGUCCCCCCGCCCUGUCAGGAUGGGGCUGGUUUUCGGCGGUGGGAAGAGCGCCGUGGGACACGAAACCGCCGCUUUCCUUCUCAGUGUGUCGGGGAGGAAGGAGUGCGGUUCUCCGAGCUCUGCUCUCCAGAGAAUCCCAUCAUGAAAGCAACAAAGAGCUCAGAGACUUCGGCUGAAACCCGGGGACCUUCCAUCUGAACCGGGAGCAUCUCUGAGCCAAGAGCGCCACCCUGCACUCCUCAGCGGUACUGCGCCGCCGCUGGAACCUGCUCCAGCCAAACAUAAACUCGACCUUUUUUUUCUCCAAAUACUAAAAUGAUUGAAGGAUGAAAUUGGGGAAACAUCACAUCUGUUGGGUUUUUACCCUCACACACACACACACACACAAACAAACCUAAGAAAGCCUCUUUAACCAAAGCCGAGCACAAACGCACUUAAAAUCAAGCUAAUUACAAUUUUGUCUGUUCCCUUUUGUGUCUUCGCAUAAAGGGAGCAGGGGAAAAUAAGGUGGCGGGGGCUGUCUGUGAUUUUUCCAACUGGUACGGUGAAAUAACACACAGCCCUCCGCUGUUCCUCAUUUAAAUGAGGCUGAUUUCUUAACAAAAAUUCGCUGCUAGUGUAACAAGAGUGAAAGAGGAGCCUGUGAAAACUCGCAGCCCGCAGCAAGUAUUUAAACUAUCAUUUAAAAAGGGCUGAUCUGUAAUUCAGAGCGGAUACGGUAUCAGUCGGCGUGCUUGUCAUUCCCGGCUAUAAUCUCCACCACGCUCAGAAACACUGUCUGCUGGCAGCUCUGAGAGGAGAAGGAGGAGGAGGAAGAGGAAGAGGAGAAGAGGGGAGGCAGGGGGAGAGGGAUUGGACUUCUUCUCCUCCAGCUGACGCUCGCUAUCAGAGACUAAAUCUUUUUUCCGGAGCAAAGAAAAACUCUGAGAUUGAGUUAAAUAAGAGCAAAAACCUUCUGAACGAGGAUGACUGUUCGGGAAAAACUCAGAGGUCAUAGGUCAAAUCAUGAAAUCCUCCAUCUGCAUUUGUUAGCGACAAUCUGCAAGCAGCAACUGCCAGGAAAUUAAAAAAUAUCUGAUAAAAUUCUGGGUUUUCACUGUUUUUCUUGUGUUC
rnacentral:lncRNA from 1 species